rnacentral:rRNA from 1 species
GAUGAACGCUGGCGGCGUGCUUAACACAUGCAUAGUCGAACGGGAUCCAUCAGGCUUUGCUUGGUGGUGAGAGUGGCGAACGGGUGAGUAAUGCGUGACCGACCUGCCCCAUACACCGGAAUAGCUCCUGGAAACGGGUGGUAAUGCCGGAUGCUCCGACUCCUCGCAUGGGGUGUCGGGAAAGAUUUCAUCGGUAUGGGAUGGGGUCGCGUCCUAUCAGGUAGUCGGCGGGGUAACGGCCCACCGAGCCUACGACGGGUAGCCGGCCUGAGAGGGCGACCGGCCACAUUGGGACUGAGAUACGGCCCAGACUCCUACGGGAGGCAGCAGUGGGGAAUAUUGCACAAUGGGCGCAAGCCUGAUGCAGCGACGCCGCGUGCGGGAUGACGGCCUUCGGGUUGUAAACCGCUUUUGAUCGGGAGCAAGCCUUCGGGUGAGUGUACCUUUCGAAUAAGCACCGGCUAACUACGUGCCAGCAGCCGCGGUAAUACGUAGGGUGCAAGCGUUAUCCGGAAUUAUUGGGCGUAAAGGGCUCGUAGGCGGUUCGUCGCGUCCGGUGUGAAAGUCCAUCGCUUAACGGUGGAUCUGCGCCGGGUACGGGCGGGCUGGAGUGCGGUAGGGGAGACUGGAAUUCCCGGUGUAACGGUGGAAUGUGUAGAUAUCGGGAAGGACACCAAUGGCGAAGGCAGGUCUCUGGGCCGUUACUGACGCUGAGGAGCGAAAGCGUGGGGAGCGAACAGGAUUAGAUACCCUGGUAGUCCACGCCGUAAACGGUGGAUGCUGGAUGUGGGGCCCGUUCCACGGGUUCCGUGUCGGAGCUAACGCGUUAAGCAUCCCGCCUGGGGAGUACGGCCGCAAGGCUAAAACUCAAAGAAAUUGACGGGGGCCCGCACAAGCGGCGGAGCAUGCGGAUUAAUUCGAUGCAACGCGAAGAACCUUACCUGGGCUUGACAUGUUCCCGACAGCCGUAGAGAUAUGGCCUCCCUUCGGGGCGGGUUCACAGGUGGUGCAUGGUCGUCGUCAGCUCGUGUCGUGAGAUGUUGGGUUAAGUCCCGCAACGAGCGCAACCCUCGCCCUGUGUUGCCAGCACGUCAUGGUGGGAACUCACGGGGGACCGCCGGGGUCAACUCGGAGGAAGGUGGGGAUGACGUCAGAUCAUCAUGCCCCUUACGUCCAGGGCUUCACGCAUGCUACAAUGGCCGGUACAACGGGAUGCGACACGGCGACGUGGAGCGGAUCCCUGAAAACCGGUCUCAGUUCGGAUUGGAGUCUGCAACCCGACUCCAUGAAGGCGGAGUCGCUAGUAAUCGCGGAUCAGCAACGCCGCGGUGAAUGCGUUCCCGGGCCU